ACUUAAAUUGAAGAGUUUGAUCAUGGCUCAGAUUGAACGCUGGCGGCAGGCCUAACACAUGCAAGUCGAGCGGUAGCACAGAGAGCUUGCUCUCGGGUGACGAGCGGCGGACGGGUGAGUAAUGUCUGGGAAACUGCCUGAUGGAGGGGGAUAACUACUGGAAACGGUAGCUAAUACCGCAUAAUGUCGCAAGACCAAAGUGGGGGACCUUCGGGCCUCAUGCCAUCAGAUGUGCCCAGAUGGGAUUAGCUAGUAGGUGGGGUAACGGCUCACCUAGGCGACGAUCCCUAGCUGGUCUGAGAGGAUGACCAGCCACACUGGAACUGAGACACGGUCCAGACUCCUACGGGAGGCAGCAGUGGGGA
rnacentral:rRNA from 1 species